GUGCUCCCUUCAGCAGCACAUAUACUAAAACUGAAAUGAUACAGAGAAGAUUAGCAUGGCCCCUGCACAAGGAUGACACACAAAAGCGUGAGGCGUGCCAUAAAAAG